rnacentral:rRNA from 1 species
GAGUUUGAUCUUGGCUCAGAUUGAACGCUGGCGGCAUGCCUUACACAUGCAAGUCGAACGGCAGCACGGGAGCUUGCUCCUGGUGGCGAGUGGCGAACGGGUGAGUAAUGCAUCGGAACGUAUCCUGGAGUGGGGGAUAACGUAGCGAAAGUUACGCUAAUACCGCAUAUUCUGUGAGCAGGAAAGCGGGGGACCUUCGGGCCUCGCGCUCUUGGAGCGGCCGAUGUCGGAUUAGCUAGUUGGUGAGGUAAAGGCUCACCAAGGCGACGAUCCGUAGCAGGUCUGAGAGGAUGAUCUGCCACACUGGAACUGAGACACGGUCCUGACUCCUACGGGAGGCAGCAGUGGGGAAUUUUGGACAAUGGGGGCAACCCUGAUCCAGCCAUGCCGCGUGAGUGAAGAAGGCCUCGGUUGUAAG